GAUUAACGCUGGCGGCGUGCAUAACACAUGCAAGUCGAACGAUGAAACUUAAAUGAUUUCUUCGGAAUGAACUUAAGUGGAUUAGUGGCGGACGGGUGAGUAACGCGUGAGUAACCUGCCUUACACAAGGGGAUAGCCGUUGGAAACGACGAAUAAUACCCUAUGAAACUAUCACUUCGCAUGAAGCGAUAGUCAAAGUGUUAGCGGUGUAAGAUGGACUUGCGUCUGAUUAGCUAGUUGGUGAGAAAAAAGCCCACCAAGGCAACGAUCAGUAGCCGGCUUGAGAGAGUGUACGGCCACAUUGGGACUGAGACACGGCCCAGACUCCUACGGGAGGCAGCAGUGGGGAAUUUGGCACAAUGGGGGAAACCCUGAUGCAGCGACGCCGCGUGAUUUAGAAGGCCUUCGGGUUGUAAAAAUCUUUUGUAUAGGAAGAAAAUGACAGUACUAUACGAAUAAGGUCCGGCUAAUUACGUG
rnacentral:rRNA from 1 species